rnacentral:rRNA from 1 species
CCCUUAGAAGGUCUGGGCUGCACGCGCGCUACAAUGGUGCAUUCAAUGAGUUUAUCCUGGCUUGAAAAGGUCGGGUAAUCUGUAAAAUGCAUCCAAGUUGGGAUAGAGGAUUGUAAUUUUUCCUCUUGAACAAGGAAUGUCUCGUAAACGUAAGUCAUCAGCUUACGUUGAAUACGUCCCUGCCCUUUGUACACACCGCCCGUCGCUCCUACCGAUUGGAUAAUACGGUGAACUUGAUGGAAGAGAAACUGUCGCCAGACAGAGUUUCUAAAGUCACGUAAAUCUUAUUAUCUAGAGGAAGGACAAGUCGUAACA